rnacentral:misc_RNA from 1 species
AAAGUCGUAACAAGGUUUCCGUAGGUGAACCUGCGGAAGGAUCAUUAACACGUAUCCAACGUUAAACCCCCCGUGAACCUUCAAAGCGCUCUUGGUGCCUUUACGGAACAGCAAUCCUGGUAAAUCAGUGGCGAGAUUCGUUUUUGAUUCAGGACCUCUGUCCAUGGUGCCAAUCGAGCGCAACGUUAGUGGGUCUGGUUACCUGGCCUGGCGGAUGAAAGUGUCGCUGUACGGUUACGAGGUUUAUAGGCAUCAGCGAUCGCUAGAAGGCUCCUCACGAGCCGGCGAACAGACCUGCAGGGCCUCGGCCCCCUCUAUAUCUGACGACCAAGUUAAACCGGGCCUGGUCACAUAGCAAGUGCGCCGUGAUGCAGGUAAAUCGUACAACUGUUAACAAUGGAUAUCUUGGUUCUC